GCGGUUUGUCGCGUCUGCUGUGAAAAUCCGAGGCUCAACCUCGGACCUGCAGUGGGUACGGGCAAACUAGAGUGCGGUAGGGGAGAUUGGAAUUCCUGGUGUAGCGGUGGAAUGCGCAGAUAUCAGGAGGAACACCAAUGGCGAAGGCAGAUCUCUGGGCCGUAACUGACGCUGAGGAGCGAAAGCGUGGGGAGCGAACAGGAUUAGAUACCCUGGUAGUCCACGCCCUAAACGAUGUCUACUAGUUGUUGGGUCUUCAUUGACUUAGUAACGAAGCUAACGCGUGAAGUAGACCGCCUGGGGAGUACGGCCGCAAGGUUAAAACUCAAAGGAAUUGACGGGGGCCCGCACAAGCGGUGGAGCAUGUGGUUUAAUUCGAUGCCACGCGAAGAACCUUACCAUGCUUGACAUAUAGAGGAAAAGUGCAGAAUGCACUCCCGCAGGUCUCUAUACAGGUGGGCAUGGUGUCGUCAGCUCGUGCGUGAGAUGUGGGUUAGUCCGCACGAGCGCACCCCGUCUAUGUGCAGCCGUAUGUGGAAAGC
rnacentral:rRNA from 1 species